GAAAGAAAGGGCAGACGGUGGAUGCCUUGGCUCUUGGAGGCGAUGAAGGAUGUGAUAAGCUGCGAUAAGCUCGGGCAAGGUGCAAAUAACCAUUUGAACCCGAGAUUUCCGAAUGGGGCAACCUAAUAGAUUGAAGGUCUAUUACCGCUUUAAGCGGAGCAAACGUGGGGAACUGAAACAUCUAAGUACCCACAGGAAAAGAAAAUAAAUAAUGAUUGCGCAAGUAGUGGCGAGCGAACGCGCAGAAGCCCAAACCGGCGUUGUUUAGGCAAUACCGGGGUUGUAGGACCACGAUGUAGCAAGAAAUCGGGAAAGUGGAAUCAGCUGGAAAGUUGAAUCAUAGAGGGUGAAAAUCCCGUACACGACUUUUCGACGAAGCUUAGUGGUAUCCUGAGUAGUGCGGGACACGAGAAAUCCUGUACGAACCCGCGGGGACCAUCCCGCAAGGCUAAAUACAUCCAAGAGACCGAUAGUGAACCAGUACCGUGAGGGAAAGGUGAAAAGCACCUCGAAUAGAGGAGUGAAAUAGACCCUGAACCCGUCUGCCUACAAGCGGUCGGAGCGGAUUUAUCCGUGACGGCGUGCCUUUUGCAUAAUGAACCUACGAGUUACCAUCACCGGCAAGGUUAAGUGAUAUUAGUCACGGAGCCGAAGCGAAAGCGAGUCUGAACAGGGCGUCGUAGUCGGUGGGGGUAGACGCGAAACCAAGUGAUCUACCCAUGGUCAGAUUGAAGGUUGGGUAACACCAACUGAAGGAUCGAACCGAUAAGCGUUGAAAAGCUUCCGGAUGAACUGUGGGUAGGGGUGAAAGGCUAAUCAAACUUGGAGAUAGCUCGUACUCCCCGAAAUGCAUUUAGGUGCAGCGUUGUAAAUUUUUUAUGUCAGGUAGAGCGACUGAUUGGAUGCGAGGGCUUCACCGCCUAUCAAGUCCAGACAAACUCCGAAUGGGCAUAAAACUAAUUGCAGCAGUGAGGGCGCGGGUGCUAAGGUCCGUGUCCGAAAGGAGAAGAAUCCAGACUAUCAGCUAAGGUCCCCAAAUAUAUGCUAAGUUGAACUAACGAAGUCAGAGUACAAAGACAGCUAGGAUGUUGGCUUGGAAGCAGCCAUUCAUUUAAAGAGUGCGUAACAGCUCACUAGUCGAGUGCUCCGGCAUGGAUAAUAAUCGGGCAUAAGCAUAUUACCGAAGCUAUAGAAUUGACAAGUAAUUGUCAAUUGGUAGGGGAGCAUUCUAUUACAGCGUUGAAGAUACGUGGCGAUGCGUGUUGGAGCGGAUAGAAAAGCAAAUGUAGGUAUGAGUAACGAUAAUGCGGGCGAGAAACCCGCACGCCGAAAGACCAAGGUUUCCUGAUCAACGUUAAUCGAAUCAGGGUCAGUCGGGACCUAAGGAUAAGCCGAAAGGCGAAGCCGAUGGAAGAACCGGUUAAUAUUCCGGUACUACUGUGUAGAGAGAAGUGGGGACGGAGCAGUGAAACUUCCGCGAACUGACGGAAUAGUUCGUUAAAGGGUGUAGAUGUUGAGGUUUGCAGGCAAAUCCGCAGACU
rnacentral:rRNA from 1 species